CCCAUUAAAAGAAUCAUCAAAAGCGGCACUUACUAUAAGUGCCUCUGUGACAGGAGGCGUGCUUUCUGCCUAAAUGAAAGCACGCCCCUGUCACUAACAGUGAUGUCAUUGGACAGUCGCCGGGAUGGAGGGGGACGGAUGGACGGACGUCUCGUGUAUUUUAGUAUACUUCUACACCUACAAGUGCGGCCGCCUGUUAUCUCCCCGCCCUCCCAGCCCCAGGUAAUGCAGUCCGGCCAGAGGCAGAGAGACAAGAGCCGCCACUACGAUACCCUUUUCAUUCGGCUAACCCCCCCGCACGGCGUCCUGACUGCUCGUCUGCCUGGUGCGAGGCAGCCAGAGCAGAGGAGCCUCACACCAUGCAGACGAGGAGUCCGUGCGCCGUGCGGGGGGGUGCGCCGUGCGGGGGAUUGGUAGCCGAGUGGAAGGGGUAUCGCAGUGGCGGCGCCUCUGGCCGGACUGCAUGCAUUACCGGGGGAUGGGAGGGCAGGGAGCUAAUAGGCACAUGUACAUGAACUAUGAAAAACGGCAAAUAGAAGGGAGAGAUCGCGGCCGGGACCGGGAGCUACAGGCAUCUUCCGGAUCAUGUGAUCUCCUACAUGAAUAGUGAUUACCGACUGAAGACGCCGUCUGCCCAGGGAGGAUACAUUUCUUCAGAGGUUCCCCGUUAUGAGAAGUCACCAUAUAGAAUAUCCUCUACUGCUGAUUCGGUGAAGCCACUCUACCAUCCAGUGAAACCAGUAAAAGUUCAGUAGUGUUCCUUACAUUUAUGCAUCUUUGGUCCGACAUUAUUGUUGGUCAUUUUUAUACUAUAGUUUCCUCCAAGGACUAUUUUCAAUUGAAGAAUUUUAUCCGAUUCCUUUAUUGAUAUUCUUUGUGCAAAAAACCUAGUUGGUAUGCACAUCAAGUUACACCUGCUCUCCUCUUUUAAUUAUUAAUUGUAAUCAUAUUUCAGUAAUGUGAAUUCAUGUGUAAAUUUUCAGAUUGUUCCAAACCGGCACUUCUAGUGAUAUAUUCUUGUUUAUCAUGUUUUUCCAAAAUUAUUGGUAUGUAUCCAUAUUUACCUGUUACUGUCAAUAGUCAUUAUUACUAUUUGUUGUACUUAGUUGCUCUAUUUACCAUUUAGAUACUGUACCCCUGAGGAAGUCCUUUGGGAUAAACGCGUUGGUUUCUGUGUCCUUUUGAUAUCUGUAUCAC